CCUACGGGAUGCAGCAGUGGGGAAUAUUGGGCAAUGGGCGCAAGCCUGACCCAGCAACGCCGCGUGAAGGAAGAAGGCUUUCGGGUUGUAAACUUCUUUUGUCAAGGAAGAGUAGAAGACGGUACCUGACGAAUAAGCCACGGCUAACUACGUGCCAGCAGCCGAGGUCAUACGUAGGGGGCAAGCGUUGUCCGGAUUUACUGGGUGUAAAGGGCGUGUAGCCGGGUUGACAAGUCAGGUGUGAAAUUCUGCGGCUUAACCGAAGAACUGCAUUUGACACUGGUGAUCUUGAGUACUGGUGAGGCAGAUGGAAUUCCUAGUGUAGCGGUGAAAUGCGUAGAUAUUAGGAGGAACACCAGUGGCGAAGGCGGUCUGCUGGACAGCAACUGACGGUGAUGCGCGAAAGCGUGGGGAGCAAACAGGAUUAGAUACCCUAGUAGUC
rnacentral:rRNA from 1 species